ensembl:lncRNA
CUGGUCUAGAGGUGUUCCUGCCUAUAGCAGAGGGUUGGAACUACGUGAUCUUAAAGCUCCCUUCCAACCCAAACCAUUCUAAGAUUCUAUAUUGAUCUAGAUUCCAGGUAGACUUCACUGUACUCAUGGUAUAUGUGCUUUGAUUAGUGUGAAAAGGGUUGAUUUAAUGGAGCAUGCAUUUGAAAGCUCUGAUCUCUGCUUAUAUUUCCUGAACAGUAUGGGUAGGUCAGCAAUCUGUAACAUCUUGUGUAGUCACUGCUGCAGUGAUAAUAUUUGAACAAGAUAAUGGUUAUGCAGCUGCAUGGUGUGUGCGUACUUUGGGAUCUGAGGCAACAAGAACAGAAGUUGCUGGCUGUGCUUUGCAUUGCAAAUGGAAAAGAUAUGGAGAUAUACACAGUCUAUUGAGAAGCUCAUAUUGGAGUAAUAACCAUGAAAAAUGGGAUUUCCUGGGAAUUCAUUACCAGUUAGGAUCCCCUCAGUAAGAUGCAAAGCUUCAUUUUGCUGUGACCAUCAGACCUGAGAAGCAGCUCGGUGAGUUUAUUUUCUUCCAUAACUCUUUAUUUUCUGCCAUGUGCAUUCAAUAACAUGUUUCUCCCAGGGACUUGGACUUUCAAUUGCAAUGUUUGCAGUGCUUUUGGAUAUAUAUGUUGUAACACUUAGCAGUGAGGCAUUAGAUGGGCCACUUCCCAGCAAUAAUAAAUGUAAUAACAGCUUUAAAAGGUUUUUGUGUUCUUUUUUGGUGUUUUUUUUCU